CCUACGGGUGGCAGCAGUGGGGAAUAUUGCACAAUGGGGGAAACCCUGAUGCAGCGACGCCGCGUGAGUGAGGCAGUAUUCCGGUAUGUAAAGCUCUAUCAGCAGGGCAGAAAAUGACGGUACCUGACUAAGAAGCCCCGGCUAACUACGUGCCAGCAGCCGCGGUAAUACGGAGGGGGCAAGCGUUAUCCGGAUUUACUGGGCGUAAAGGGAGCGUAGACGGCUAAUCAAGUCAGAAGUGAAAACCCGGGGCUCAACCUUGGGACUGCUUUUGAAACUGAGUAGCUAGAGUGCAGGAGAGGUAAGCGGAAUUCCUAGUGUAGCGGUGAAAUGCGUAGAUAUUAGGAGGAACACCAGUGGCGAAGGCGGCUUACUGGACUGUAACUGACGUUGAGGCUCGAAAGCGAGGGUAGCAAACAGGAUUAGAUACCCUGGUAGUC
rnacentral:rRNA from 1 species